UAGCCGGCCUGAGAGGGCGACCGGCCACACUGGGACUGAGACACGGCCCAGACUCCUACGGGAGGCAGCAGUGGGGAAUAUUGCACAAUGGGCGGAAGCCUGAUGCAGCGACGCCGCGUGAGGGAUGACGGCCUUCGGGUUGUAAACCUCUUUCAGCAGGGACGAAGCGCAAGUGACGGUACCUGCAGAAGAAGCGCCGGCCAACUACGUGCCAGCAGCCGCGGUAAGACGUAGGGCGCGAGCGUUGUCCGGAUUUAUUGGGCGUAAAGAGCUCGUAGGCGGCUUGUCGCGUCGACCGUGAAAACUUGGGGCUCAACCCCAAGCCUGCGGUCGAUACGGGCAGGCUAGAGUUCGGUAGGGGAGACUGGAAUUCCUGGUGUAGCGGUGAAAUGCGCAGAUAUCAGGAGGAACACCGGUGGCGAAGGCGGGUCUCUGGGCCGAUACUGACGCUGAGGAGCGAAAGCGUGGGGAGCGAACAGGAUUAGAUACCCUGGUAGUCCACGCUGUAAACGUUGGGCGCUAGGUGUGGGGGGCCUCUCCGGUUCUCUGUGCCGCAGCUAACGCAUUAAG
rnacentral:rRNA from 1 species